rnacentral:rRNA from 1 species
UGGGGAAUUUUGGACAAUGGGCGAAAGCCUGAUCCAGCAAUGCCGCGUGUGUGAAGAAGGCCUUCGGGUUGUAAAGCACUUUUGUCCGGAAAGAAAUCCUUGGCUCUAAUACAGUCGGGGGAUGACGGUACCGGAAGAAUAAGCACCGGCUAACUACGUGCCAGCAGCCGCGGUAAUACGUAGGGUGCAAGCGUUAAUCGGAAUUACUGGGCGUAAAGCGUGCGCAGGCGGUUUGCUAAGACCGAUGUGAAAUCCCCGGGCUCAACCUGGGAACUGCAUUGGUGACUGGCAGGCUAGAGUAUGGCAGAGGGGGGUAGAAUUCCACGUGUAGCAGUGAAAUGCGUAGAGAUGUGGAGGAAUACCGAUGGCGAAGGCAGCCCCCUGGGCCAAAUACUGACGCUCAUGCACGAAAGCGUGGGGAGCAAACAGGAUUAGAUACCCUGGUAGUCCACGCCCUAAACGAUGUCAACUAGUUGUUGGGGAUUCAUUUCCUUAGUAACGUAGCUAACGCGUGAAGUUGACCGCCUGGGGGAGUACGGGUCGCAAGAUUAAAACUUAAAUGAA